rnacentral:rRNA from 1 species
UACGUAGGGGGCAAGCGUUGUCCGGAUUUAUUGGGCGUAAAGAGCGUGUAGGCGGCCAGACAGGUCCGUUGUGAAAACUCGAGGCUCAACCUCGAGAUGUCGAUGGAAACCGUCUGGCUAGAGUCCGGAAGAGGAGUGUGGAAUUCCUGGUGUAGCGGUGAAAUGCGCAGAUAUCAGGAAGAACACCUAUGGCGAAGGCAGCACUCUGGGACGGUACUGACGCUGGGACGCGAAAGCGUGGGGAGCGAACAGG